GAUGAACGCUAGCGGCAGGCUUAAUACGUGCAAGUCGAGGGGCAGCGCAGUGUAGCAAUACAUGGGCGGCGACCGGCAAACGGGUGCGGAACACGUACGCAACUUACCCUUGUCUGGGGCAUAGCCCACCGAAAGGUGGAUUAACUCCCCAUAAGAUAGUGGUGUGGCAUCACACAGCUAUUAAAACUGAGGUGGACAAGGAUGGGCGUGCGGCUGAUUAGGUAGUUGGUGCGGGUAACGGCCCACCAAGCCUGCGAUAAGUAACUGGUGUGAGAGCACGACCAGUCACACGGGCACUGAGACACGGGCCCGACUCCUACGGGAGGCAGCAGUAAGGAAUAUUGGUCAAUGGGCGAAAGCCUGAACCAGCCAUGCCGCGUGGAGGAUGAAGGCCCUCUGGGUUGUAAACUUCUUUUACAGGGGACGAAACACUUCUAUUCUUAGAGGCUUGACGGUACCUUGGGAAUAAGCACCGGCUAACUCCGUGCCAGCCGCCGCCGUAAGAC
rnacentral:rRNA from 1 species